GGAAGCCGCCAGCGCCAUUUUUAAUAAGGCCACCUCGCUGGGCUUCGCAGGAGACCAGCCCCGGGCGAGAUCCUGUCCUAAGCACUAGUCCGAAAGGCUGCGAUCGGCUGGAGAAACACAUUGGGCUCUGUAAUAGCGGGCCUAGGAGCUUAAUUAUCCAUUAAAUAAUGAGUGAGUUACUAAUCUUUUUGCUGCGAACUUUUCACGCUCAUCUCUUGGCUCCUCCCUAAAUCACUUGGAAACAGAACUGGACAGAAGAGAAUAAGGCGGGACUUCCGUACCCUAAAAGAGGGAAGGUCUCAGUUGACCACAUGAGGACUCAACAUGAGGAAUCAGAUGGAGGAGGUGUCAGAGUCAGACCAACAUGGUAGGUAAUGCCAUGUAGUGGGGAAGUUGUAGGGAUAAGGUCAUUGUGCACUGUGUAUAAAUAUUCACCUGUCAAUAGAAAAGCCUUUUGCCAGUUAGCUGAGGCAGAAUUCAAAGGUAACACACCUGCAUGGGAGAGAAAGAAUUCUGGAAAUGAAUCAGGUACAUGAGAGAUUCACCCAAAUUCUGAGGAGACAGACACAUAAAUCUGAGAAGCAGGUAAACAACCAUGUGGCUCUAGAAUAGAAUAAACUGGACUAUUGAGAUAUGAGCAAGUCAGGGAACCAAGUGAAAGUUAUUGAUCUAUAUAAAAGAAGUUUCAGAGUCAUCGUUUCUGGGAACAAAGCUUGGGAAAAAACAAAAACAAAAACUCUUAAGGGUAUAUGGCGCCCAACAUGGGGCAUGGAAUGCAAGCUUAGAAAAGUCCCAGGUGAGAGGCAGUGCAGUUAUAUUUGGCACUGGAUGUCGGGAAAGUACUUACAAAAAAUCUGAGACAGAAAUCCAAACUUAAAGUUUGGAUGAGAAGAGAAACGAGUGUGCUCAGGAUACAGAGCAGUUUCUUAGUUCUGUUCCUUUAAGAGAGAAAAAAGUCGUAAGAGCAGCUGGUAAAAAAAAAAAA